ensembl:rRNA 5S_rRNA 5S ribosomal RNA
GUGUAUGGCCAUACUGCCCUGAACGCGCCUGAUCUCCUCUGAUUUUGGAAGCUAAACAGGGUCGGGCCUGAUUAUUCCUUGGAUGGGAGAAGAUACCAGGCUUGAUGUUCUCA